ensembl:snoRNA
AGCCCUUUGUCCUUUGUAAGUACGACGAUUGGGUUUUCACAUUUCUGUGUGACAUAUGCCUCCUUCAAACCUUGUUAUAAUGUCAGCACGUUACCUGCCUAUCA